ACUCAAAGGAAUUGACGGGGACCCGCACAAGCGGUGGAGCAUGUGGAUUAAUUCGAUACUAACCGAAGAACCUUACCCAGACUUGACAUCGAUCGUAAGCCUUAGAAAUAGGGCCCUCUCUCACAAGGAGACGUGAAGACACUUGUUGCAUGGCUGUCGUCAGCUCGUGCCGUGAGGUGUUAGGUUAAGUCCUUCAACGAGCGCAACCCUCGUCCUGUGUUACCAGCAUGAAAGAUGGGGACUCACAGGAGACCGCCGGUGUAAGCCGGAGGAAGGUGGGGAUGACGUCAAGUCAGCAUGGCAGUUACGUCUGGGGCUUCACACAUGCUACAAUGGACGAAACAAAGGGCUGCGAUACCGCGAGGUGGAGCCAAUCCCAAAAAUACGUCCUCAGUUCAGAUUGCAGUCUGCAACUCGACUGCAUGAAGUCGGAAUCGCUAGUAAACGCAGGUCAGCUAUACUGCGUUGAAUACGUUCCCGGGUCUUGUACACACCGCCCGU
rnacentral:rRNA from 1 species